AGGUGGGAAGAAGGGAUAGAUAGGAAGUUUGGGAUCAACACGUACACACUGCUAUAUUUAAAGUGGGUAAUAUACAAGGACCUACUGUAUAGCACAUGGAACUCUGCUCAGUGUUAUGUGGCAACCUGGAUGGGAGGGGCGUGUGGGGAAAAG